GGCUGGGCUGGGCAGGGCGGGCGGCUCCCCCCGUCCCUCCCCUCCGCUCCCCGCGUCCCCCCCGGGCCGAGCCUGGCGUCCCGCAGCGCUGCCCCCGGCGGAGGGGACCGCCUCUCGCUGCCGCUCAUUGGGGUGGUCGUCUCUCGUAUUGCGCGGUUCUUAUUUUCAUCCCCAGCCGCUCCUGUCACUGCCGUCGCCGUUCCUCCCGCGCGUCCCGGCCCCGCCGCCCCUUUGUGCCCGGCGCGAUGAGGCGGCCGCGGGCAGCGGCAGGUAAGCGGGGCGGGUGGCAGAGCUGGCGACCCUCGCGGCCCCCGCCCCAGCGCAAUCCCGCUCCCACCCCGCCUCCUUCGCAGCCUCCGCUGCUCGCUCCCUCCUUCGUCACGCGGGGCUGUACGCAACAACGUGUUUAUCACCGCCGCCCGGAGGGAUCCCCCCCGGGCCCUUCCCAGGCCGCCCCUUUUCGAUAUUAAACCUGCCUCCCGCCGCGCACCUCCCCUCCCUCCGUCUUCUCCUCCCCCCCCGAACAAUUUGUGCCUACUUUGAUUUGUCCCCCCUUUCUCCCCCCCCCUUUUUUUGGUUUCCAAGGGACUCCUCUCCAACCUGUCUGUAGGUUUAAACCUCCAGACGGGUUGAAGAACGCGCCCGAAAGGAACCACUUGGCAGAUUUGGUUUCCUCCCUUGAAGCCCCACUGGACGUGGAGCAGAUCCUUCGCUUGCAGACGCCCGAGGACGGUUUGCAGAAGGUAAGAGCCUUUCCCCAACACUUCCAUCCUCGGGGCCACCUGAGCAUUUUGCCGUACGGAUGAGGCCCAUCAUAUCAUGUCUGUCCCCAUGUCUCUGAACAUUGGUGAGGGGCAGCGUGGGGCCCCUGUGGGCACACUGAGGGCACAGGGAACGCAGCUCUGCACGCAGAUAGUGCUGGAGCUGAGGGAUUGCUCCCUUCUGAAAAUGGGACACCCUUCCGAGGGAAGGACACCCUUUGUUUUAUGAGUCGGGAUGUGUAAAUUUAGGAAAAGCGGAGAUGAAGAGUGCAGUGAAAAAGUUAAUGCUAUGACUGCUUGUUCCAUGUGAAAGUAAUCUGCCUAAUGUAAUUGGUUGUUUCCAGCAAAUCCGAUAGUACUAAUUUCAGUGUGAACCGGAAAGAAAUAUCCUUGUGCUUUCUUAAUUUUCAGCUUUCCAAAAUGUGUUGUGCGCUACUUUGCAUGGUUCUCGCCUGGAAUAAAAGGACUCUCACUGCUUCUGAAAAUAAACCGUGCCCAGGCAGGGAAGCUCUCCUCGCUGCGGGCUGAGUGAAGUGAAAGCAGGAGUUUGCUGAGGGGCGGGGGUGGAGGGAGAUACAGGAUCAUAACAUUGGGCAGAGCAAGUGCUUGGGGGGCUCUCUUUGUUUCCUUGUGAGCACUGCAGUUAUAAGCUAAAUACUCUGAUCCAAAAGACGCAAUGUUAGGUACUUUCAAAUGGCAAUUGUAACAAUCGUAAAAGGCUUUUCCAUUUCUUCUUUAAGAACAGCGUCUUGUCUGUCAUUAUUUUGUUAUUCUUUUCAUUAGCAAUCGGAAAUACACAGACUGAGUAAUACUGCUUGUUCUCGUGAGUUACGGUGGAACUCAGCAGCAUGCUCAGUCCUGAGGAGUUCCUCUAUUGCCUCUCUCCCCCCCCCCCAAAAAAAAAAAACUGAAUCCCUGCCAGCAACAAGUGUGCUGAUACAGUGAGCUGCAGGACUUGGGCACGACGCCAACUCAAGCAAUUUAAAUGACAUGGUUAAUAGUGCCUCCACUGUCCUUAUCACACAGUAGUUGUCUUUAAUAAAGUCAGUGAACUUCCAAGUGAUAAUCAUGAAUGACAAAUUAACUCAAGCCCUAACCCUCCUGUUCAAAUGAAUUCUGUUUUGCUCUGACUGAUAUAACUACUGAUUUCAGUUGGACCACAACAAUUUGCAAAACAUAUAUCUCCUCUAAAUAUGUGAUUUCUUUCAGGCAAAUAAGAGCCAGUUAGUUUGUACAAAAAUAUUUCUGCAGUAUUCCCAUGGCUUCUCUUUCUGGCAGUGUCACUUUAUUAAGUGUUUCAGUAGUAAUAAGUUUACGUGGGGCACUGCAUCCUUCAAAGGAAUAUUUAUCAAACACUUCAAAUUAGGAGAUAAUUUUACAUAAAAUUGAUAAGUCAGUAUAAUAUGUCUAAGAAGUUAAAACACUAUAAUUCCUGUAAAGUAUUAUUUAUGGAAGUGAAAAUGAUUGCUCCAUCAAUUUCGGUUUGAAAUGAGUAACCUUUAAAUAGCAAGCAGUUCAUAGAAUUUCAGAAGUAUCCACACUUAGAAGCAGCAGCAUGCUGUUUCACCGUGGGAGUUUUGAAGUUUUUUCAAGUACCUCUAAUGCUCAUAGCAACUUUUUCCAUUGUAGAAUUAAAAGAUUACGAUGUAAUGUGAAACUACAGAGGAGGCAGGGUAGUACAAUUGACAGUUUAACUGCAAAUUGCCUAUAUGAUUACGUAGAUUAUGAUUUUUGUUUUUUGAGAGAUCUCAUCUUGGUGAUUUCCAAACCUGCUAAAUCUUGCCAAAAGCCAUAGGAGCACUCAUGUUCUCAGCAGCUGUUAAGAACUUGCUAAGGCACUUAACAGUAAAUGUUUCAUGUCUUGUGCCUAUGAUUGAAAUACAGUGCUGUGUGCUUAACUGUUAAGUUUGGAAUACUGUUCCUAAUAGCCAGGACUGUAUUUUUGAAAAUUACUAUAAUGAAUGCAGAUUAUAUCUUGUCACAAAUUUGGUUUC